GAUGAACGCUGACAGAAUGCUUAACACAUGCAAGUCAACUGUGGCGGACGGGUGAGUAACGCGUAAAGAACUUGCCUCACAGAUAGGGACAGCAUUUGGAAACGAGUGCUAAUACCUGAUACUGUGAGAGAGCUUUGCGUCCCAUUAGCUAGUUGGAGAGGUAACUGCUCACCAAGGCGAUGAUGGGUAGCAGGCCUGAGAGGGUGAUCGGCCACAAGGGGACUGUGACACGGCCCUUACUGCUGUGGGAGGCAGCAGUGGUGAAUAUUGGACGAUGGACGAGAUUGUUAUCCAGCAAUUCUGUGUGGACGAUGAAGUUUUCGGAAUGUAAAGUGCUUUCAGUUGGGAAGCGGUACCAACAGAAGAAGUGACGGCUAAAUACGUGCCAGCAGCCGCGGUAAUAC
rnacentral:rRNA from 1 species